rnacentral:lncRNA from 1 species
AUGGCGUUUGGUGUCAAGUGGAACGAGCCCGGGGAGGCGAGCGGCGGCGAGUGCGCCGAGCGCCGGGCUGCAGCCCCAGGGUCGGGGGCCAAGAGCCCCCGGCGCCGAGCUGGCCCGGGAUGCGGAUGCGGGGGCUGCACGCCGCGCCGGGAGCCUCCAUCCUCCCCCUCGGCCCCAGCCAGGACGGAAAGGGGGAGGAGGGGGAGGGACGGAGCCGUCAGCCAUUUUCCCUUCCAGUCCAAAACACACACACACACGCUCCGGGACGCCGGCUCGGCCCGGAGCGCAGCCCCGCGCCCCCGCCCGCGCCGCGCGCCCCCGGCCUGCGGCGGCGGAGGGGCACGGGGCAGCCCCCGGGCGCGGGCGCGGGCGUGGAGGGAGGCCCCGCGCACACGCACACCCCCCUCGCCGCCUCCCCUCCCCUCGAUCCAGCUGUUGGCCCCGGAAAAGCGCGUCGUCCCGGCGCGGCUGGCUACUCACCGCACGACACGGGCGUCUUCUCUUCAGCAGCAGGGCACUCAGAGGCGGCAGCAAGGCUCAGUCCCGGGGCAGGGCCGGCCCUGGGUGCAUCCCAGGCCCAGGAGGGACGGGCGACAAAGUGUGUCGCGGGACUGCGGGCGGGAGGACCGCGGGCUGCACGGGGGCGCCGGGACAAGCGGCUCGCCGCGCCCGCCCUGCAGCGGCGGUGGCCGCGGCCGCCUCCUCCUCCUCCUCCGCCGCCGGCGGCGGCCCUCUUCCCCCUCUCCCCUCGGGCUGGGGCUCUCCCAGGGCGCAGACGGGCUCCGGGCGGUGCGUUUCUCCUGCGUCACCUCCUCCUGCUCCUCCUCCCGCAGUGGCGGCUUCACCUUCCCCUGGUCGCCGCCUCUGUCCCCGCUCCGGGCCUGGUCGCUUUGCAGCGGCUCGCUCCUCGCUCCGGCGCCGACCCGAGCACCGGGCGCUAAGGCGGCCGCCUCCCGUGCGAGAGGCGGCGGCGGCGGCGGCGGGCUCCCGCGAGGCCCGGGAGCUGAGCAAGGCGGGGAGGGGCUCCGCGCGGCAGAGGCCCACAGGGCCCGGUGCGGAGAGGCUGCCGCUCCGGCGGCAGCGGAGACUAGCUUCCGCAGCCGCGGAUGCCCGUCCUCGUCAAUAUGGCGGAUCCGGCAAACCAAAAAAAAAAAAAAAAAGACUCGGCCAGUGGCGGCGGCGGUAGCGACGGCGGCAGCAGCAGUGGCGGCGGCGGCAGCAGCGCGGCGGCGCAGACUCCCACUAGCCCCAGCACCGCCCAAAGCCCCGAGGCGCCCCGCCCCCGACAGGCCCCGCCCCCCGGGCCCGCCUCCCGGCCCUCCUCCCCUUGCCCACCCUCCCGGCGCUCAGCUGCUCCUGCAGCUUGCGCCCGCUUCGCCCCCUCCGCCCAGGGCUGUCGAGCCAGAGAGUGGCGCGUGCCGCCGGGGGAGUCGGGCCUGGCGAGACGCCUGGAACCCGGAGAGCUGGGGUGGGGGAAGGGAAGACAAUGCGGUAAAGAAUGUUCAUGCAGUUCCGCUUCUUCCAGCCGGCCCUUCAGGGUCGCGCUACGGCCAGGAACUCUGUACCAUACCCCUCGGCCCCGGAGCAGUGUCAGGGCAGGGGUGGCACGAGGACGGGCAAGGGUGGGGGAAGGGAGGCCCGAAAGGAUCUGGCAUACCACACCAGAGAAGGAGCCGGGAGGUCGGGACUGGCAGGGUGUGUGGCUAG